GGGAUUCCUAAAACUGAUUUGCAACAUUCAGGUGUCAGUGAAGCUACAGGUACAGUGUAGGACCCAGGGAGAGUUGGAGACCAGAUCAACCCCCACAGACACCAUGACAGACUGUGUGACUGUAAGGGGAGGAGGAGAGAGGGUUUGAGUGGAGGCUGCCUCUGCCAGGAGUCUGCCAAAUCCUACCGCAAGCCCAGGAAGGCCUUUGUGGCAAUGUGCCUAAGGAAAGG